ensembl:snoRNA SNORA80E small nucleolar RNA, H/ACA box 80E
GCAUGUUUCGAUUUGAGACUCGACCCUCGUUUGUGAUCCUUUCUCAGUGUACGACAUGCAACAUCAACCUCUGACUCCGAACCAUUGGCUGGUCCUUAUUUAAUGGGCUUGAUCACUGAAGAGAGUCAAACAAUU